UGGUGGGUUUGGCAGUCCCAUGAUGGCACCAGAAGCAACAGGGACACACGGGAGCUGGAGGUGUGUCCCUUCUGUCAACUUGCAAUAGAGCACCUAUAAUUUUCCUGGGCUAGUACCAAGCUUCUGAUUGACCACUCCUCAGUUUUGGUCAACUGUUCACGUUCAGAGGUUCUGGAAGGGUAUCCUGCCCUGAAGACUCAUGGUGCCUGCUCCUUUCCUGAAUGGGAAACUGAAGAUUUUCAUCUCCUCACUACCACCGAUAACUCCAGAUAAGCAUAUUGAAAUUGUGUAGAAGACUCCUGAGGGCAAAAGAAAGAAGAUAGAUCUGGUGGCAGAAUGAAGAGAUAAUAUAACCUGGUGAGAAGUAUAAGUAAACAAGAGAAGCACUUUGUGUCAUUUUGUGUUGUUAUGUCCAGUGAAAUGAAUGGUAACAUUUUCAGCAGUACUUAC